ensembl:lncRNA
CUGGUCCCUCUCCCCUCCCUGGAGGUCGGGGGUCGGGCUGAAAGUUCCAACCCUCUAAUCACAUAGGCUUCCUCUGGCAAUGAGCUCCCAUCCUGAAGCUCUCAAGGGACCCCCCCACCACCACCACAAGGGUCACUUCAUUAGCAUAAACUCAAGUAUGGUUGAAAGGGGCUUAUUAUAAAUAACAAAGAUGCUCCUGUCAUCCCUGUCACUCAGGAAAUUCCAAGGGUUUUAGAAGAUCUGGUACCAGGAACGAGGGAUGAAGACAAAAUACAUAUUUCUUAUUAUAUCACAGGAUCACACAGGUGCUGCCAUUAAAUCACAUGUCCCCCAGUUCUGUACUUGGAAAGUUGAUUUGGGACAAAAACACAGCCUUUGAGACCUUGAGUCUGUUGUUUGUUUCCUUCUAUGGGUUAGAAGGUAACUGGUUGCCUGAUGACUUGGCAAUCUCACCAUCAAGGUCCAUUCAAGUCACUGGCAAAAAUGUUAAGCAGCUAAUUAUAGCUCGUGCGUAUCAGCUCUGUGCCAUCCUUCAAGGCAAGAAAAUCAGUGUUCACAGAGUUUUCCUAAUUGGCCAAUAAGCGACGGACCUGAGCUUCACACCCAUGUCUGUCAGCUCCAAAACCAGGGAGAAAUAAUGGAUUCUCUGACGAUUCACAGCCCCGAGUCACUUGGAGCAGAAGUUGUAGCUUCAACUGUUGCUGAAGACCUCGACAAAGGGGGGCGAAGAAGCCUAUGGAGCUAGCACCAGGCUGCAAAAGGCCAAGUCUCAGAUGCUGUGCGGGCUGACUAACAGAGCAGUACAGCUACAGACUGGAGUCACUGAGGGUUGAGGCGGAGGGUUAAGGCAUCAGAUUUCCAGUGAGACAAAGGCCUGGGUUUUGUUCAGCAUCCUGAGCACGGGUAUCAACACACUGACACACCCCACGUGCACAUGUCGGCAUCUCACCGUGGCGCCCUCUUUCCGAUUCAGAGGUCACAGGAAAGACACCCGUGCUUUCUCACGGUGCCCCCUCACCCCAUCUCGCUGCCUUGCUCCAAUAGGAAUGGCUCUUAGGGUCGGAAAUUAACGACAUAAAAGGUCUGACGUGCCCAGAGAAAAGACAAACACUGUGGGGAAAUGUAAGUUAUAUAACAUAAAUUUAGAUGUCGCUUUUACUGAAGUUUUUUUUCUCACCCAGAUUUGGUAGUUUAAGAUCCUAAUUUUAUAACCACGGUUGCUGGGAGAACCUCGACUGAUUCCGAUCACUUUAAACAGCCUUUUAUAGUCACAGCCUCCAGAGUAUAUUUCCUCUUCUUUUUCAACAUAUCACAUUUCUUGGCAGAAAUAUCUAGCAGAAAGCACCAAAAUUUUUAUAAUGAGGAUAAAAUCAAAAUUUCACACAUCAGAUUUCUCUUGUAGAUUAUUUCUUCCUGUUGAAUCUUUCCCUCUUCUAGCUUUAUUUUAGUGACUAAGAAUUGAAAAUUUGAUUUCAGCGUCGUUCAUUCAUCUUAUAGGAUUUUGUGGCCAAAGGGCAUUUGCUGUCUGCCUUGACUUUAAAGUGUCUGCAUUCAAAGACUUGGCCGGUGCCGCCCCUCAGGAGCUGGGGUGCCUUCAGACAGACAUCACCUCCCACUUGAAUUCCGAGGGCGAACUCCAGAAUGGCCUUCCCACUCUCCCUGUCUCAGCUUAACUUGGCUUCUCUCUACGAUUUUCCAUUUUAAAAUGUGUGCUGUGCUCUUGAUUCCAAUGUAAAGGUUGUUUGUGAGUGCCUUUAGGAGUAAAGAUCAAGUUCAAAACCGAAAUACCACAAGACGCCCAGCGGGAGCCACGUGGAGAAUCUUUCACUUACCUACCAAACCAGGCCAGGAGGCCCAAGAGGCCUUUGCCACUUCCAGCUGAGUCACCACCGGCCCCACACCUUCUGCUUUUUCCCCUGAAAAUGCUUUCCCGUCUCUGCUCAGUGACUAACUCCAUCACCAAUGUGACCCAGUUUGUUUGGCAAGAUGUGAUUUUUUUUAACUCACGCUGCUUUCACUGGUCACGACUCUCACAGGCAUUUAGCGGCUCCCUCUCGGCGUCCGUCUGGCCCUGCUGCCGUGCUGGAUUGAUGGCUCUCUCCCCAGCUGUUCCUUUCCAGCCUGCUCUCCUCUCCCUGGCAAAUCCAUAUUCCAUUUGCU